rnacentral:pre_miRNA from 1 species
UUAAUACUCCCUCCGUCCAACAAAAGAUGUCUCAAAUUUGUCAAAAUUUGGAUGUAUCUAGACAUGACUUAGUGUAUAGAUACAUUCAAAUUUGGUCAAAGUUGAGACAUUUUUUGUUGGACGGAGAGAGUACAAA